rnacentral:lncRNA from 10 species
GCAGGAUGCCCUUCCCAGCUUUGUCCAGUGAGUCACAUGACCCCUGAGGUAUAUAACUCAUAGUGGGCUGCCUUUUGGGGCCCCUCACUUGUGGUGCACAUGGGGCAUGUACGGGCAACACUCAAUCCUGCCCAGGAAGCUUCCUUGAGCCUUGAGGGCUGCCUCACAAUGGAUCCUAGGCUUCUUUUUUCCCUUGCUGCUUGCCUGCUUCCAGAUACAGCCCUCUAGGUCAUCCAGAGGUGCCAGCCAGCCCUCACCAGUGGUCAGCUUUUCCUCAGUGGAGUGGUAGGUGAGCCAGUGGAGCUUGCUCUGAAGAUACUAGAGGGAGCCAAAGCUGUCUGGCCCUUCAGUGUGACUCAGUUUCCAGACUCUUUCUCUUUAGACAUAAAUGAAGAACAAGUCAACCUUGAUGCCUUUGAGGGUUGGUUCAGCGGAUGAUGUGUUGUGGGGUUUUCCCACAGGUCAGCAGUCCAACUACCAGGGCCAGAGCCCCAUCAAAGAAUCUUCAGUGCCAGCCAGAAAGAAUGAUGAACUCCUCGUGUAAAGGGAGUUUGGGGCAACCAGUCAAACCAUGGCCUCAUGGGAAGCAGCUGACUAGGCAAUGAGAGAGGAAUACAAAAGACAAGGCACUGCGAAGCCAAGUCUGGUUGGGGAGAAGAAACCAAUAUGCCUGAAACAGGGAACCAGAAAGGACUCAGACAAAACUGCUGACAAGUAUGGGGUUUCUUGGGGUAGGUGGUGAAAAUAUUCCAAAAUAAGAUUAUAGCGAUGUUUUAAUAAUCCCCUGGAUAUAAUAAAAAAACAUCGAAUUGUACACUUCAAAUGAGUGAACUGUGUGGUAUGUGAAUUAUAUAUCUCAAUAAAGAUGUUUUAAAA